GGCAGACGGGUGAGUAACACGUGGGAACGUACCUUUUGGUUCGGAACAACACAGGGAAACUUGUGCUAAUACCGGAUAAGCCCUUACGGGGAAAGAUUUAUCGCCGAAAGAUCGGCCCGCGUCUGAUUAGCUAGUUGGUGAGGUAAUGGCUCACCAAGGCGACGAUCAGUAGCUGGUCUGAGAGGAUGAUCAGCCACAUUGGGACUGAGACACGGCCCAAACUCCUACGGGAGGCAGCAGUGGGGAAUAUUGGACAAUGGGCGCAAGCCUGAUCCAGCCAUGCCGCGUGAGUGAUGAAGGCCCUAGGGUUGUAAAGCUCUUUUGUGCGGGAAGAUAAUGACGGUACCGCAAGAAUAAGCCCCGGCUAACUUCGUGCCAGCAGCCGCGGUAAUACGAAGGGGGCUAGCGUUGCUCGGAAUCACUGGGCGUAAAGGGUGCGUAGGCGGGUCUUUAAGUCAGGGGUGAAAUCCUGGAGCUCAACUCCAGAACUGCCUUUGAUACUGAAGAUCUUGAGUUCGGGAGAGGUGAGUGGAACUGCGAGUGU
rnacentral:rRNA from 1 species